UACGUAGGGGGCAAGCGUUGUCCGGACUUACUGGGCGUAAAGCGUGUGCAGGCGGGCCGCUAUGUGCCGUGUGAAAGCUCUCAGCUUAUCUGGGAGAGGUCGCGGUAGACAGGCAGCCUGGAGGCUCGGAGAGGUCAGUGGAAUUCUCGGUGUAGUGGUGAAAUUCGUAGAUAUUGGGAAGAACACCGAUGGCGAAGGCAGCCAUCUGGACCGACACUGACGCUGAGGCGCGAAAGCGUGGGGAGCAAACAGG
rnacentral:rRNA from 1 species